CUCCCUCUCUGUCUCCUUUCCCGCCUCAUUCAUUCCCCAUCACCUGAGUGCAGCGCGCAGCAUCUCCUUUUCCAGCUUCGGCUCCUUCUCCGGCUUCAGCUCCUGCUUCGUCUCCUUCGCCACAACACCUUACUUCCGUCUCCUUUGCGAUAACAUCUUGCCUCCAUCUUCUUCUCCGUCUCCGGCUCCAGCAGGCAAGGAAGAACCUUUCAAUGGAAACUAUUGAAUUUUCCUAUGAAGAUGAGGCUGAGAUUGAGAGGCUUGAGGCAACCAAAACUGAUUUGCAAAAUCAAGUUGAGGAACAGGU